rnacentral:lncRNA from 1 species
AUUCCCACAGUGCUGACUGAAUUUCCCCGACGGACGAACUCCCACUGCACCACCCGAGCUCCUUCAACAUGAGUUCCCCCAGUCAUCUAUUAAGCUGCCCCAAGUGCUCACUGAGCUCCGCCGCCAGCCGACUUUCUACGACUAUCAGCUGUUCCCCGAAUCUCUUCCAGACUUCUUCCAGCCAGGUUCAACUCCAAUCCGAACU